GACGAACGCUGGCGGCGUGCUUAACACAUGCAAGUCGAACGGAAAGGCCCUGCUUUUGUGGGGUGCUCGAGUGGCGAACGGGUGAGUAACACGUGAGUAACCUGCCCUUGACUUUGGGAUAACUUCAGGAAACUGGGGCUAAUACCGGAUAGGAGCUCCUGCUGCAUGGUGGGGGUUGGAAAGUUUCGGCGGUUGGGGAUGGACUCGCGGCUUAUCAGCUUGUUGGUGGGGUAGUGGCUUACCAAGGCGUUGACGGGUAGCCGGCCUGAGAGGGUGACCGGCCACAUUGGGACUGAGAUACGGCCAAGACUCCUACGGGAGGCAGCAGUGGGGAAUAUUGCACAAUGGGCGGAAGCCUGAUGCAGCAACGCCGCGUGCGGGAUGACGGCCUUCGGGUUGUAAACCGCUUUCGCCUGUGACGAAGCGUGAGUGACGGUAAUGGGUAAAGAAGCACCGGCUAACUACGUG
rnacentral:rRNA from 1 species